CUUCCGGAGGCGGAGCCAACGGUAAUGGCUGCUUCUCUCUAACUUGGAGAGAACUAGCUCUACGGAAUUUGGGUCCUGUCGCUACGGCGCAGCGGGGACCCCCAAAUAAAUCACAGGCGGGUGAAGCCUGUGAACGUGGGACUCAGCGGGCACCGUUUGCGCCCCCCCAAUUGCUAAAGGAGCUCGGCAACGGGCUCCGGAGCGGAGCGGGGUGGCGUGGUGCUGUGAGCAAAUUGCUUCUUCCGUGGAGUGAAGCCGCGAAGCUGUUACCGGAGAGCUCUGCCUUUUUUCCUGGGAUAAUUGGCACUGAAAACAACUACCCGUGAGUAAAUUGGAUUUAAAGGGGGGGGGGGGAUAUAAUUUGGCACGAGCGGGGAACGUACAAGCAGGAAGUCUACCUUCCCUGAAUUGUAAAUAGAUCAAAGCAAAGAGACUUCAAAGCAGAAACUCGGACAGUCACUUAAAUGUGCUAAAUUCCAACAUCUUGAAAAGGGUUCCCUCCGGAUUGCAGGAGAGGAGGGGAAAAAGACUGAGCUGAAUUUCCUGCAGUAAAGAAGGGGAGAGGAAGGAAGAAUUUACAAUUUAAGAUUCAGAACGGACUGCCUUAAGAUAGAGGUUUAUAGUGAAAGUUUGCUCUGACAGCCAAUUCUGCAAAAGUGAUACAGUGUUUUCGAACCUCUUUUGGCUUAAAAGUAACUGUUUAAAUGUAUUGAGACUGUGGAUUUCGAAAGUAAAUUGGGGGAUUUAUAAAGACUAUUUUUGUUUCUAAAAAGUUACAAGUUCUGGCUGUUACUGUGUCCCCCUAGAGGAGAUUGGACAUUGUUACAACAAUAGUUACAAAGAGGAAAUUUCCAUUCUAUGUCAAAACAACUGGGUGAAUGUGGGAGCGACCUUGAAUGUCUAUGAGACUGUGAUGGCAGAGGAUAAGAAGGAUAAUAAGGCGGAACCGCAGGAAAAAAUUACUAGGUCUGGCAGACAUUAUCGGAUAGAUACUGCGUUGCCGCGAAGGGGCUCAACAUCUGGAGCAUCAGGAGCAUCAGGGGCCCCACUCCCACAGUCUAAAUCAAAAGUUAUGACAUCAGAAGAAGUUUUGGCACAGGCUCUGGCAAAAAUUAAUGAAUCUUUGGAAAGCCUAAGUAAACAGGUAAUUGAGACAAAUAGACAAGUAACAGAAACAAAUAGGCAAGUAGUUGAGACAAAUAGACAAGUUGUGGAAGCAUCAAAUAAAAUUGAUUUAAAUACUGCAAGUAUAAAUACCUUGGGACAGAAGGUGAAUGCCAACACAGAGACUAUCGAAAAAUUAUUACAGGAAUCUGCCUUGAUUCGACAAACUGCACAGGAAGCAAAAGAUAUUGCAAUUGCUACUCAGGAGAAAAUUCCACCUGUAUAUAAGAAAUUGGAGGACCAUGAUGUGACAUUUUCCAUGUUUGAAUUGAAAGAUAGACAGAGAAAUCUGAGAAUUAGGGCUGUUCCAGAGCGGGAGAAAGAUAAUCUGGCUGACUUUCUUACACAGGAAUUUACAGAUUUUUGGCAAUUGGACCCGGGAAGGAAGAAUUCAAGAUAGUGAAUGCAUUUAGGCUUGGAAGAAGACAAGGCAAGGGCAAGGUGAGAGACUGUUUGAUUACCUUUCGAACAAAAGAAGAGAGAGAUAAAAUUCUGAAUUUGCACUAUCAAAAAAACUUUGGAAAUUGAUGACUCAAGUCUAGUGAUUUUUAAGGACAUCCCAAAGCAUUUGCUGGACUUAAGGUCCAAUUAUGGAGACCUAGUGACCUUAUUGAAAAGAAACAGAAUUCUUUUCAGGUGGGAAUUUCCGCAAGGCCUGUCCUUUAAAUAUAAAGGGAGAAAGAUAAAAAUAAAAUCAACUGAGGAAAAAGACAGAUUCUUGAAAGACCACGAGGAAGAUCUACUGAAAGAAGGGGAAUCUGAAGAAGAACCAAAAGGCAUACUAGACAUAUCAAAUUUAUCUUUUGGACUGCACGGUCCAGAAAAAGUGAUACUACCCACAGAACAAGAAGCGGCACUUGGGGCAGUUGGAGGUAAAGUGAAGUAGCCCCCACCAUGGCUCUGCAACUAUUAAGCUGGAAUUGUAACGGUUUGAAUUCUCCGCGAAAAAGAAAAAGUGUGUUUCAUUUAUUAAAAAAAGAACAAUUGGACUUGAUUUGUCUACAAGAGACACAUAUAAUAAGGGCACAUAGGAAGUUAUUGAUUAAUAAAAGAUUAGGACAGGAGUUUGUCUCAUCUGACAAAGUUAAAAAAGAGGAGUCGUGAUUUAUGCAAAGGAGAGACUUUUACCGAAAUUUAUCUUUAAAGAUGAUCAAGGAAGAUUUUUGGCAAUUGAAAUUCAACUACAAGGAGAGAAAUUCUUAAUCGUGGGAAUUUAUGCACCGAACGAGGGGAAAUCUGAAUUCUAUAAAAAGUUGCAUGAGACUUUAUUGGAUCAUUUGGACUAUAAUUUGAUUCUGAUGGGGGACAUGAAUGGAGUAGUAUCUACAAAUAUGGACAAGGCUCAAAGACAGGUAGUCACCAAGGAUGGUAGACUACCGAAAACAUUUUUUGAGAUGACAGACAAUAUGGACUUAGUGGACAUCUGGAGGGUAAAGAACCCCCUGGGAAGAGAAGGAACCUUUUUUUCUGAAGCCAAGAUGACAUGGACUAGAAUUGACCAAAUAUGGAUAACUAGAGGAAUGGCACCAAAGAUAAAGAAGGUAGAAAUCUGCCCAAAAACUUGUUCCGACCAUAAUGCUGUAAGGAUGGAGAUGAAACAAACAACAACCGGAUCCUUCAGAUGGAGGAUGAAUGACACCUUAUUUAGAGAUGAAGAAGUUUACAAAAAGGCCCAAAAGACUUUGAGAGAUUAUUUUGAAAUAAAUAUGAAUACCAAUGUAGAAAAAAGAGUAAUCUGGGACGCAAGCAAAGCUGUGAUGAGAGGGUUUUUGAUACAACAGAAUGCAAUAAAGAAGAGAAGUC
rnacentral:lncRNA from 1 species